rnacentral:rRNA from 1 species
AUUGAACGCUGGCGGAAUGCUUUACACAUGCAAGUCGAGCGGCAGCGCGGGGGCGAACCCUGGCGGCGAGCGGCGAACGGGUGAGUAAUACAUCGGAACGUGUCCUUAAGUGGGGGAGUAGCUCGGCGAAAGACCGGGAUUAAUACCGCAUAAGCUCUGAGGAGGAAAGGCGGGGCGUCCGUAAGGACCUCGCGCUGUUGGAGCGGCCGAUGUCGGAUUAGCUAGUUGGUGGGGUAAAGGCCCACCAAGGCGACGAUCCGUAGCUGGUCUGAGAGGAUGAUCAGCCACACUGGAACUGAGACACGGU